rnacentral:rRNA from 1 species
AUUGAACGCUGGCGGUAGGCCUAACACAUGCAAGUCGAACGAGUGGCGGACGGGUGAGUAAGUUCUGGGAAACUGCCCGAUGGAGGGGGAUAACUACUGGAAACGGUAGCUAAUACCGCAUACCAUCGGAUGUGCCCAGACGGGAUUAGCUCGGAGGUGGGGUAACGGCUCACCUAGGCGACGAUCCCUAGCUGGUCUGAGGGGAUGACCGGCCACACUGGAACUGAGACACGGUCCAGAAUCCUACGGGAGGCAGCAGUGGGGAUGAUUGAACAAUGGGCGCAAGCCUGAUGCAGCCAUGCCGCGUGUAUGAAGAAGGCCUUCGGGUUGUAAAGUACUUUCAGCGAGGAGGCGUUACUCGCAGAAGAAGCACCGGCUAACUCCGUGCCAGCAGCCGCGGUAAUUC